CCAGACUCCUACGGGAGGCAGCAGUGAGGAAUAUUGGUCAAUGGGCGAGAGCCUGAACCAGCCAAGUAGCGUGCAGGAAGACGGCCCUAUGGGUUGUAAACUGCUUUUGUAUGGGGAUAAAGUCAGUCACGUGUGAUUGUUUGCAGGUACCAUACGAAUAAGGACCGGCUAAUUCCGUGCCAGCAGCCGCGGUAAUACGGAAGGUCCGGGCGUUAUCCGGAUUUAUUGGGUUUAAAGGGAGCGUAGGCUGGAGAUUAAGUGUGUUGUGAAAUGUAGACGCUCAACGUCUGACUUGCAGCGCAUACUGGUUUCCUUGAGUACGCACAACGUUGGCGGAAUUCGUCGUGUAGCGGUGAAAUGCCUAGAUAUGACGAAGAACUCCGAUUGCGAAGGCAGCUGACGGGAGCGCAACUGACGCUGAAGCUCGAAGGUGCGGGUAUCGAACAGGAUUAGAUACCCUGGUAGUCCGCACAGUAAACGAUGGAUGCCCGCUGUUGGUACCUGGUAUCAGCGGCUAAGCGAAAGCAUUAAGCAUCCCACCUGGGGAGUACGCCGGCAACGGUGAAACUCAAAGGA
rnacentral:rRNA from 1 species